UACAAAACAAUAGAAACAAAUACACUGAAUCACAUAUAUAACAAAAUAUGAGUCACAAACAAGAACUUUGAUUGCAUUCAUAUUAUCAUAUUUGAUUACAUUGUACUUCAAAAACAUUCUAAAAACAUACAAGUCAAAUUCCUAAGUACACAAUCUACAAUGUAUCAAGGGUCGGCAUCAUCAUCUCUACAAUAUUGUCAUUAAGCUUGGGGCGAGCCCAGUCAACCAAGCUCUGCU
rnacentral:lncRNA from 1 species